UCCAUAGGUUAAUGAGGCGAACCGGGGGAACUGAAACAUCUAAGUACCCCGAGGAAAAGAAAUCAACCGAGAUUCCCCCAGUAGCGGCGAGCGAACGGGGAGGAGCCCAGAGCCUGAAUCAGCAUGUGUGUUAGUGGAAGCGUCUGGAAAGGCGCGCGAUACAGGGUGACAGCCCCGUACACAAAAGCGCAUGUGCUGUGAGCUCGAUGAGUAGGGCGGGACACGUGGUAUCCUGUCUGAAUAUGGGGGGACCAUCCUCCAAGGCUAAAUACUCCUGACUGACCGAUAGUGAACCAGUACCGUGAGGGAAAGGCGAAAAGAACCCCGGCGAGGGGAGUGAAAAAGAACCUGAAACCGUGUACGUACAAGCAGUGGGAGCCCCACCACUAAGCCAGUGGUGAACUCCACAUCCGCAUCCUUUGCUGAGGAUACGGUUAACGGAGCGAAAGCGACGUUCAACCGCAAAA
rnacentral:rRNA from 1 species